rnacentral:lncRNA from 1 species
CCCGCUGCAUCGGUGACAGUUGAGAGUCCCUGCUCGAGCUUAAAUAAACGACCCUCGUGUGCUUACAUCGAAAACGGCUUCCUGGGGGUCUUUGGGACUUCGCGAUCUGGACACAACAUUUGGGGGCUCGUCCAGGGUCCCCAAGACCCUCAGGAUCUCUGUACUGGAGGGUCGACACUGACUGCCCUUUCUGCCUCCACAGAAACAGCAGCCGGAGGUAAUCCUGACAGCCUGUGAGAAGACUCCCAGGGAGCGCGACGGAAAAAGGCAAACCGAGACCACGCCGCUUUACCCGGUCCUCCAAGGAGGAACCGAGGAAGAUCUCCUUUCC